UAACUCUUCAGUUCUACACAACACCGGCACGGGUAUUUUUGGAAACCUAUUGUAAAGUUUUGACGACCAGAAAAACAUCAACAAUAUACUACAACGACUAUGACGACUACGUCGCAAUCUUAAAAUAUACUCUAAGUAUCUUCUGUACAUUCUCAAUUUACUCUUCCAUAAUGGUUACAAAAGAUAAAAGUACGUACUACCGAUUGAAAAUAGUCCACUAGCAUCCAUCUCUUUACUUCUUGUAUAGUUUUUGUAGCUAUGAAACCCAUGUGAUCAAAAAGAAUACGACAGAUCACUAUUAACGAGCUUACUUUAGCUAGUUUGGGUCUUCUUAACCUUCUGUAGUUCCUCCCUUUUGUCUGGCCAGAACUUUACUUCAAAGAUAUCAACAAACUCUUCAUGGGAUAUUGAAAAAUGGCGGCGGCAAAAGUCUUUUCAGUUAGUACCAUGUGAUUAUCAAAGUGCCUAACUAAUUAUUUGGUGAGCAUACGUUAUCUGGUAAAGAGUAUUUCUAGAACCUAAUAUUGAGUAAAUCAUACGACCAGAGCCGCCCAAGACCUGAGUAGUUUGAAUCAGUUAGGCAGCUAGUGAAGAUCUAGCUCGAUCCAAGCGGAUAUGUAUUUUAUAGGUUAUUUAAAUAUAAGAAUCCAAAAAUAUGAAAGUAGUAUUUUAUAAAGGGAUCUAGAAUUUACCAUUUUCGUAAUGGCUUCUCUAAAGCUCUAAUCACAUUAAACCGGCCGUGGUUAGGACGGAACAUAAAUUGUUAGAAGGCUUUCUAUCUAGCAACAGAUGGUAGAAAUUGAUUUACGAGAAGUCACGGGGACAUUAGUUUUUUUCUCCUUUCACAGAUACGCUCCCCCAAAAUAUAUAUAUUUCUUAAUUAGAUAUGGGCUACGGCAAUAUUGGUAAACGAAAAUGUGUUAGACGUAAGAAAUAAGGGACGAAUUAGGAGGCAAAACCAGAGUUAAAACAAACUCGAUGACCAAUAGAAGAGCUUCUUUCUCAAGCUGUUGCUUUUGAUUAAAAGAAAAGUUGGUUGUGUAAAGACAAGCAACCAAAGGAUCAAACUUGCCUCAACUAAUUUAGGUAUUUAAAUGAAAAUAGCUA
rnacentral:lncRNA from 1 species